GGCCCUAAAUCUUGAUGCCCCCCCAACACAGACAUCCGCCUGAGAACUACGAGCAUAAACGCUUAAAACUCUAAGGACUUGGCGGUGCUCUAAACCCACCUAGAGGAGCCUGUUCUAUAAUCGAUAACCCACGAUUCACCCGACCACUUCUUGCCAAAACAGCCUAUAUACCGCCGUCGUCAGCCCACCUUAUGAGAGCACAACAGUGGGCCCAACAGCCCACAACCCACUAACAAGACAGGUCAAGGUAUAGCCUAUGGAGUGGAAGAAAUGGGCUACAUUUUCUAAAAUAGAAAACCUAACGAAAGGGGACUUGAAAUCCAUCCCCAGAAGGCGGAUUUAGCAGUAAAGCAGGAUAAUCAAGCCUUCUUUAAGUCGGUCCUAGAGCA
rnacentral:rRNA from 1 species